rnacentral:rRNA from 1 species
UACGGGGGGAGCAAGCGUUGUUCGGAUUUACUGGGCGUAAAGGGGCGCGUAGGCGGUCGUGACAAGUCACUUGUGAAAUCUCCCGGGCUUAACUCGGAACGGUCAAGUGAUACUGUCGGACUAGAGUACAGAAGGGGGCAACUGGAAUUCUCGGUGUAGCGGUGAAAUGCGUAGAUAUCGAGAGGAACACCUGCGGCGAAGGCGGGUUGCUGGGCUGAUAACUGACGCUGAGGCGCGGAAAGCCAGGGGAGCGAACGGG